rnacentral:rRNA from 1 species
UAGACAACCUACCUUUCAGUGGGGGGAUAACUCCGCGAAAGUGGGGCUAAUACCGCAUGUGGUGGGGCAGUGGGUGCACUGCUUGACUAAAGGGUGAAAGCUCGCUGGGAGAUGGGUCUGCGGCCUAUCAGCUAGUUGGUGAGGUAACGGCCCACCAAGGCGACGACGGGUAGCUGGUCUGAGAGGAUGAUCAGCCAGACGGGGACUGAGACACGGCCCCG